GGAGGAUCCGAGCGUUAUCCGGAUUUAUUGGGUUCAAAGGGAGCGUAGGUGGAUUGUUGAGUCAGUUGUGAAAGUUUGCGGCUCAACCGUAAAAUUGCAGUUGAAACUGGCAGUCUUGAGUACAGUAGAGGUGGGCGGAAUUCGUGGUGUAGCGGUGAAAUGCUUAGAUAUCACGAAGAACUCCGAUUGCGAAGGCAGCUCACUAGACUGUCACUGACACUGAUGCUCGAAAGUGUGGGUAUCAAACAGGAUUAGAUACCCUGGUAGUCCACACAGUAAACGAUGAAUACUCGCUGUUUGCGAUAUACAGUAAGCGGCCAAGCGAAAGCAUUAAGUAUUCCACCUGGGGAGUACGCCGGCAACGGUG
rnacentral:rRNA from 1 species